rnacentral:lncRNA from 1 species
CAGAAAUCUGGAUGCCUUCACUGAAUCUUUAUAGUUUCAAGGAAAUGGGGCAGCUUUCUCCAAAAUCUUCCAAUGUGAUUUUAAGGAAAAGGGGGGAAUGUUGCAAAUUGCAUUUGGUUCUGAAGGACAUGGCUUGAAGAAACAAGUUUUAAAAAAGGCACACCUGCUUGAAUUAUUAUUGGCCCUGAAUAGUCACUAUUCCUCAGAACUUCAACUGAUCUGGUACAAAUGGAAAAAUGGAUGGAAGCA